UACGGAGGGUGCAAGCGUUAUCCGGAUUUACUGGGUUUAAAGGGUGCGUAGGUGGGCAGGUAAGUCAGUGGUGAAAUCUCCGAGCUUAACUCGGAAACUGCCAUUGAUACUAUCUGUCUUGAAUUAUCUGGAGGUGAGCGGAAUAUGUCAUGUAGCGGUGAAAUGCGUAGAUAUGACAUAGAACACCAAUUGCGAAGGCAGCUCACUACGGAUAUAUUGACACUGAGGCACGAAAGCGUGGGGAGCAAACAGG
rnacentral:rRNA from 1 species